rnacentral:rRNA from 1 species
CCUACGGGUGGCUGCAGUGGGGAAUUUUGGACAAUGGGCGCAAGCCUGAUCCAGCCAUGCCGCGUGCGGGAAGAAGGCCUUCGGGUUGUAAACCGCUUUUGUCAGGGAAGAAAAGGUUCUGGUUAAUACCUGGGACUCAUGACGGUACCUGAAGAAUAAGCACCGGCUAACUACGUGCCAGCAGCCGCGGUAAUACGUAGGGUGCAAGCGUUAAUCGGAAUUACUGGGCGUAAAGCGUGCGCAGGCGGUUAUGCAAGACAGAGGUGAAAUCCCCGGGCUCAACCUGGGAACUGCCUUUGUGACUGCAUAGCUAGAGUACGGUAGAGGGGGAUGGAAUUCCGCGUGUAGCAGUGAAAUGCGUAGAUAUGCGGAGGAACACCGAUGGCGAAGGCAAUCCCCUGGACCUGUACUGACGCUCAUGCACGAAAGCGUGGGGAGCAAACAGGAUUAGAUACCCUUGUAGUC